AUGUGAAAGUCUAAUCAAACGUGGAGAUAGCUCGUUCUCUCCGAAAUAACUUUAGGGUUAGCGUUCGGAUAGUUGACGUUGGGGGUAGAGCGACUGAUUUCGAACGGGGGCCUACCCGGCUACCCGUCGAAGCCAAACUCCGAAUACCAGCGUACCAGUCCGGGCAGCUAGACGGUGGGGGAUAAGCUUCAUCGUCGAGAGGGGAACAACCCAGAUCACCCGCUAAGGUCCCAGAGUCGUACUCAGUGCGAAAGGAAGUUGGAUUCCCGAGACAGCCAGGAUGUUGGCUUAGAAGCAGCCACCAUUUAAACAACGCGUAAUAGCGGACUGGUCGAGGAGUCCUGCGCCGAUAAUGAACGGGACUCAAGUACGACACCGAAGCGGUGGGCAGCGUAAGCUGCGGUAGGAGAGCGUUGCGUGUGCGGUGAAGGGGUACGGACAACGAGCCCCGGAGCGCAUGCAAGUGAUUAUGCCGGAAUGAGUAGACGAUAAAACGGGUGAGAAUCCCGUUCGCCGUAAACCUAAGGUUUCCUGGGGAAGGUAAAUCAGCCCAGGGUUAGCCGGUGCCUAAGACAAGGCCGAAAGGCGUAGUCGAUGGGGAGCAGGUUAAUAUUCCUGCGCUCCUCGCACAACAUGGGACGUCGAUUCAAAGAGGUGUAGGCUUAUUAGAUUGCCUCAGGGCACUUAAGAUCCCGGUAUCCACUGAGAGUCGACCAAGAAAACCGUGCGAGAAACCGUACUAAAACCGACACAGGUAGGUGAGAUGAAUAUUCUAAGGCGCUCGAGGGAACUCUCGUGAAGGAACUCUGCAAUUUAACUCCGUAACUUCGGGAAAAGGAGUGCCCACGCAAGUGGGCCACAGUGAAAAGGUUCUGGCGACUGUUUACUAAAAACACAGGUCUGUGCGAAGGCGUAAGCCGCGGUAUACAGACUGACGCCUGCCCGGUGCUGGUAAGUUAAGGGAGAGGGUUAGCCCGUAAGGGUGAAGCUCGCAACCGAAGCUCCAGUAAACGGCGGCCGUAACUAUGACGGUCCUAAGGUAGCGAAGUUCCUUGUCGGGUAAGUUCCGACCUGCAUGAAUGGCGUAACGACCGGAACACUGUCUCCACGAGAGACUCGGUGUAAUUGUAGUUGUCGUGAAGAUGCGACAUACCCGCAGCUAGACGGAAAGACCCCGUGAACCUUAACUGCAGCUUGGUAUUGGGUUUAGACCCAGCGUGCGUAGUGUAGGUGGGAGACUAUGAACCGCGUAUUUCGGUACGUGGGGAGUCAACGAUGAAACACCACCCUCGCUGUGUUUGAAUUCUAACCUGUUGUUUGUAGCAACAGGGACCGUGCUAAGUGGGCAGUUUGAUUGGGGCGAUCUCCUCCCAAAAGGUAACGGAGGAGUGCAAAGGUACCCUCAGCCCGGUUGGCAAUCGGGCAUCGAGUGUAAAGGUAUAAGGGUGCUUGACUGCGAGUCCGAUGGGACGAGCAGGGACGAAAGUCGGCCUG
rnacentral:rRNA from 1 species